rnacentral:rRNA from 1 species
UACGAAGGGGGCUAGCGUUGUUCGGAAUUACUGGGCGUAAAGCGCGCGUAGGUGGCCUCAUAAGUCCGUUGUGAAAGUCAAAGGCUCAACCUUUGAAAGCCGAUGGAUACUGUGAGACUAGAGUACGGAAGAGGCGAGUGGAAUUCCUGGUGUAGCGGUGGAAUGCGCAGAUAUCAGGAAGAACACCUAUGGCGAAGGCAGCUCUCUGGGACGGUACUGACGCUGAGUGC